GGCGAGAUGGCCGAGCGGUCUAAGGCGCUACGUUUAGGAUUCUUCAAAACAUCCUGCUCCGUAGUCUGAAAGGGCGUGGGUUCGAAUCCCACUCUCGUCA